CAGCCGCCGCGGGAAUACGUAGGGGGCAAGCGUUAUCCGGAAUAACUGGGCGUAAAGGGUGCGCAGGUGGUUUAACAAGUUAGUGGUGAAAGGCAUAGGCUCAACCAAUGUAAGCCAUUAAAACUGUUUAACUUGAGUGCAGGAGAGGAAAGUGGAAUUCCUAGUGUAGCGGUGAAAUGCGUAGAUAUUAGGAGGAAUACCAGUGGCGAAGGCGACUUUCUGGACUGCAACUGACACUGAGGCACGAAAGCGUGGGGAGCAAACAGGAUUAGAUACCCGCGUAGUCCCUGUCUCUUAUACC
rnacentral:rRNA from 1 species